CUUGGUCACCGGGCCACACCUUAUUAUAACGGGAGGCUGGAAAGUGUAGUCUUUCUGUGCACCCCAGGAGGAAGAGGCGAACACAGCAGUUUCUUCCACGUAAGGGUCCCUCUUCCUCCUGGGAAAGAUGGAGCAGAACACAGCCUGGGCCGGCGGGAAGGCCCCUGGAGGAGGCCGCAUUGGCAGUGGGCCUGGAAGGAUGCUGACUCAGGAUGGAGCAGUGUAAUUUGGGAGGACCAAGGAGGAUAACUCACCCUAAAUCUCUCCAGCUGCCCAACCAGGACAGAUCUGGCGCUACGGUCACAACCUUCAGGAAGCCUGC
rnacentral:lncRNA from 1 species